GGCCUCAUAGCUCAGUUGGCUAGAGCGUUGGCUGUAUUAGAGCCUUCAUCUUGCUGGCGUGGGUUCGAAUCCCACCGAGGCCG
rnacentral:tRNA from 1 species